CAGAGCGAACGCUGGCGGCAGGCCUAACACAUGCAAGUCGAACGAACUCUUCGGAGUUAGUGGCGGACGGGUGAGUAACACGUGGGAACGUGCCUUUAGGUUCGGAAUAACUCAGGGAAACUUGUGCUAAUACCGAAUGUGCCCUUCGGGGGAAAGAUUUAUCGCCUUUAGAGCGGCCCGCGUCUGAUUAGCUAGUUGGUGAGGUAAAGGCUCACCAAGGCGACGAUCAGUAGCUGGUCUGAGAGGAUGAUCAGCCACAUUGGGACUGAGACACGGCCCAAACUCCUACGGGAGGCAGCAGUGGGGAAUCUUGCGCAAUGGGCGAAAGCCUGACGCAGCCAUGCCGCGUGAAUGAUGAAGGUCUUAGGAUUGUAAAAUUCUUUCACCGGGGACGAUAAUGACGGUACCCGGAGAAGAAGCCCCGGCUAACUUCGUGCCAGCAGCCGCGGUAAUACGAAGGGGGCUAGCGUUGCUCGGAAUUACUGGGCGUAAAGGGAGCGUAGGCGGACAUUUAAGUCAGGGGUGAAAUCCCGGGGCUCAACCUCGGAAUUGCCUUUGAUACUGGGUGUCUUGAGUAUGAGAGAGGUGUGUGGAACUCCGAGUGUAGAGGUGAAAUUCGUAGAUAUUCGGAAGAACACCAGUGGCGAAGGCGACACACUGGCUCAUUACUGACGCUGAGGCUCGAAAGCGUGGGGAGCAAACAGGAUUAGAUACCCUGGUAGUCCACGCCGUAAACGAUGAUUGCUAGUUG
rnacentral:rRNA from 1 species